rnacentral:rRNA from 1 species
UGGGGAAUUUUGGACAAUGGGCGCAAGCCUGAUCCAGCAAUGCCGCGUGAGUGAGGAAGGCCUUCGGGUUGUAAAGCUCUUUUGUCAGGGAAGAAACGGCUCAGGCUAAUAUCCUGGGCUAAUGACGGUACCUGAAGAAUAAGCACCGGCUAACUACGUGC